UAUCGUUAUUUUUCUAGCUGAUUAUAAGGAAAUAAACUAAUUACUGUCUUAAGUGUGUUGCAUCUGAAUAAACUUUGUGUAAGUUGUGCCUGGCCUUCUAAUAUGUUAUCCUUUAAGAGCUGAUGGCAUAUUUGGUUGAGUCGUGAAGGGAUUGCAUUCUGCAUGCAAUGUGAUUUUGUCUCUUUAUAUGGCUCUUUCUGGUGAAGGAUUCUGUUGCAUAGGUGCCCGCAAAGUUGGAAGAGGGACCACCUCUUCCCCGUCUUCACUUAUAUCCCAUUGAAGAUUUUGGUUGUCUCAGGCAUUUUGAGGCAUGGUUGAAUUUCAGCUAUUCAAAUCCCUACCUCAAGUUGUUAUUGUCGAUCUUUAUUUCCUUAAUCAAAGAGACUAAACAACAAGUUUAUCAGCAAAAGUGGACUUCCUGUGCAGUCAGCUGUGACAGAAACUAUCAAGCACCAUAAGCAAAACAUUCCAAGGGUUUCCAGGCAAGUAUAUUCUCUUUAGUUAUUUCCUCUUUUUUUCUUUCCUUCCCCUAUUAGCCUUUUUAGAUUGCUCCAAUUUAAGUGAGCUUGACUCAUUGUUGUCAUUAAGAAAAUAUGUUUAAUUAAACCUGGUUCCUCACAUUUUCUGCUCUGUUGAGUGAUUCACAAUUUAUUGGCUAAGCCACAUCAGAAGAUUAGUUAGAUCUAUUUUAUCAAAAUAGUUAAGGAAAAAAAAGCCUUGUCAGAAGAUAGGCUGAUAGGAACUUUGAAAUUCAUUAUGUGCUUCACUGUAUAAAGCAGGAAUAUGUCAGCAACGCAAUACCUAUUACUUAAAAGGACUUAUUACCCUAUUUUGUUGGUGAACUAGAAUUAAUUUGUUUUAUGAAUACUGGGAAGUUGUAAUCUUGAUUCAUGGCUGAACAUCAUGAAUCAAGAUUCCCGUCUUACUUGUAAUUGCUAAUUUUAUUUUCAAAAUUAUUGUCCGGUUAGGCACCAAGGUGGGUAUUAAUUGAUUGAUCAUUUAACGAAAUGAAUAUAUCUUUCAAAAUCUAUAGUUAUGAUAUGGUUUGAUAUUUGAAAUUUUUUUAUUAAAUGAAGAUUUUUUUUAUUUAGUAAAAUUACAAAUAAAGAUUGUAAAAUAAUUUGACCAAUUAAGAGGUUUUUAUAACAGUUUUAUGGAAAUUUAGGAUUUCGUGAGAUUAAAAUAUAAUGUGUAAUUUUAUUCAUGAAAAUAAUCGAAUGACAUUUUAUCAAUUCAUCAUGUAAUGAUAUAUAUUUAACUAAUAUAUGCAUGUACCAUAUAUAUUUUUAAUAAUCUUUAAUACUGUCAAACUAAAACAUUGUACUAAAAUUAUAAUGAGUUAUUAUUUAUUAUGAACAAAUAUUUUAAUGUAUUCGCAAUUCCAUGACAACAUUAUUCUAUUCCUGUUUAAUUACCUAUUUCAGCAAACAAAAUUACUGUUAAUGUUACUUCUAUUUUCUUCUAGUUUGUUCUGCAACUGGUACUUGAAGUGGUUUUGAGCAAAACUCUGGAUUCCCUACCUCUUUUACUUAAACAGUGACAUUUUAAGCACAGAAAGUUUAUCUUCUUAUACCUGAUUCAGACCCUAAGUUAUUAGAUGCGGGUUUCACAUUUAAUCAUAUCUAGUUAUAAACUUAAUGAGGAAACCUGAUGAUGAGCGAAAUAAAGUUUUGUGAAGUUGCUCAAACAACAAAUUGUUGAUUCUUCAAUAAUUUAGUAUCUCUUGUUAUUACAUUAUUAUUGCAGAUAAUUGUUGCUCCUUAUCAUGAAAAAGAAAAUUACCACCCCUAUGCACAGACUCAUCAUGCUCAAUGAGAACUUCUGAUGCAUGAGAGUAUUUUCUAAAUGAUAUCUCUGUGGUCUUAUUUGAGGAACCUUUUUGUCCACAGGUACUUCCCCAACUAAAUUUCCUGUUUAUAUGAAUGAUUUUAUGCUUAUAUGACUGACUUAUUGUGGUAAGUUAAGUAUGCAUGCGGUUGCUGUAAUUUACUGAUACAUUUCAAAUCGUAAUUAGAAAUGAUAGACAGACGAUGCUUUGGCAUCAAUUAAACGAAGCAACGCACUGCUCCUGUCUUGUUCUGCAUUACCUUUAAAGAGUUCAGACUUCACAAAAGCCAUGUAGUACUAUGAUUGCAACAGGCAGGUAGCCACUGUAAAAUAGAUAUUUUGAAGGAUAGUCUUGUAUUAUCACAAUUAUGAUUAAAUGUAACAUACAGCUCAAAUCAAGCAAUUGUUAGAUCAUGCUUACUGUUAUACAUGACAUUAUAUUCCAGUUAUGGACAGUUUUCUCCAAUUUUACUCCUCUUAUCUCAGAGAUAGGUUCCUCAAUUUUUUCUGAGAGAAGAAUACCAUACAGCUUUUCUUUACUCCUUCAUGUACAAGUCUAGAUGGCAGGGCAUCCCAUACAAAUUCUGGGAUGCUAGCUGAAGGAAAAUGUUAAAGACUAGAGAUCUCCGGUACACAGUUUCUUCUUGCAGUUAAUUUUUGGUCUUUGUUUUAGCACUUGUUGAUACUGCCCAAGUCUUAUCAUUUAUGGCAGAGGUUAUGAUGCAUAGCAGGAUGGUCUUUUUAUCAUAAUCUUUGGACUUCUUCUGAUCAUGAUCUUUGUACUCUGAAACAGCCAGUAUUUCUUUCUUUCAAGUUUGGAAAAUCAAUAUGUGAGUGUCUUUUAACAAUAUUCUCGUCUAUUGAUAUAUCUCAUUAUAUUUACCCAAAAAAUAAAUAUAUACACGCACAGACAGACACAUAUAUCUCUCUUUUUUUCUCUUUUCCCCCCUCAAUUAGGUAUUUGCUCCCGUGGAUUCUACCACCACUAACAGAAUCCCAGAAGAGGCUUUAAUGGGCUUCUGUUCUUGCUGCCUAAAAGGUGACCAUACUACUUUAUCAUGAUUUUUUAUGAACAUAUUGUGGAAUCUGGAGAUACAUACGUUAUAUAGUUAUAAAUUUCUGUAUAAUGUGUUCAAAUUACAUCAAUAGUUUUUUGUGAAUUGGCUAAUUUUUUGGAAAAAAAUGGAAAAUGUCAAUGUAUCUGGAAAUAAACGAUUAAUCUCGGUCAAUAUACCUGCUAAAGAACCGAACAUUAGGGUACUUAGAACAAUGUUAUGGAAAGAUAUGUUUUUAGAUGGCACAUUUGAAAUUCUCCUUUCUUCCUUUUUUGUAUUACAUUAUGAUAAUACAUAUAUAAGCAGAUGUAUGUAUAGUAAAUGACUAGUAUAUUUGUAUUUGUACACAGAAUGCUCAAUUACUUAUUCAAAAUUCAAAUUGAAAUGUAUUGAUAGAUAUAUAUAUAUAUAUUUUUUUUCUUAAAGCCGAAAUGUAAGUCCCUUUCCACCUUGAAGUGAAAAAUAUUCAUUUACUAUUUAACGUUAGAAUUUUUUUUUCUUCUUCUUCGAUAAUCCAUAAUUUGCCAUUUUG
rnacentral:lncRNA from 1 species